UACGUAGGUGGCAAGCGGUGUAUGGAAUUAUUGGGCGUAAAGCGCGCGCAGGUGGUUCCUUAAGUCUGAUGUGAAAGCCCACGGCUCAACCGUGGAGGGUCAUUGGAAACUGGGGAACUUGAGUGCAGAAGAGGAAAGUGGAAUUCCAAGUGUAGCGGUGAAAUGCGUAGAGAUUUGGAGGAACACCAGUGGCGAAGGCGACUUUCUGGUCUGUAACUGACACUGAGGCGCGAAAGCGUGGGGAGCAAACAGG
rnacentral:rRNA from 1 species